rnacentral:rRNA from 1 species
UAAUACGGAGGAUGCGAGCGUUAUCCGGAUUUAUUGGGUUUAAAGGGUGCGUAGGCGGUUGUAUAAGUCAGCGGUGAAAUUUUCCGGCUUAACCGGGAGACUGCCGUUGAUACUGUAUAGCUUGAAUACGGUUGCUGUGAGUGGAAUGUGUGGUGUAGCGGUGAAAUGCAUAGAUAUCACACAGAAUAUCGAUUGCGAAGGCAGCUCACAAAGCCGUUAUUGACGCUGAUGCACGAAAGUGUGGGGAUCAAACAGGAUUAGAUACCCUGGUAGUCCACACUGUAAACGAUGAUAACUAGCUGUCGGCGAUACAUAGUCGGUGGCCAAGCGAAAGCGAUAAGUUAUCCACCUGGGGAGUACGACCGCAAGGUUGAAACUCAAAGGAAUUGACGGGGGCCCGCACCAGCGGAGGAACAUGUGGUUUAAUUCGAUGAUACGCGAGGAACCUUACCCGGGCUCGAACGGUGCAGUAAUAUGGUAGAGAUAUCAUAGCUAGCAAUAGACUGUAUCGAGGUGCUGCAUGGUUGUCGUCAGCUCGUGCCGUGAGGUGUCGGCUUAAGUGCCAUAACGAGCGCAACCCUUGUCGUUAGUUACCAUCAAGUAAAGUUGGGGACUCUAGCGAGACUGCCACCGUAAGGUGUGAGGAAGGGGGGGAUGACGUCAAAUCAGCACGGCCCUUACGUCCGGGGCGACACACGUGUUACAAUGGUAGGUACAGAGGGCCGCUAUCCAGUGAUGGAGUGCCAAUCUCAAAAACCUAUCUCAGUUCGGAUCGGAGUCUGCAACUCGACUCCGUGAAGUUGGAUUCGCUAGUAAUCGCGCAUCAGCCAUGGCGCGGUGAAUACGUUCCCGGGCCUUGUACACACCGCCCGUCAAGCCAUGGAAGCCGGGGGUGCCUGA